CAAACGACUCUCGGCAACGGAUAUCUCGGCUCACGCAUCGAUGAAGAACGUAGCAAAAUGCGAUACUUGGUGUGAAUUGCAGAAUCCCGUGAACCAUCGAGUUUUUGAACGCAAGUUGCGCCCGAAGCCAUUUGGUUGAGGGCACGUCUGCCUGGGCGUCACGC
rnacentral:rRNA from 23 species